UACGGAGGGUGCAAGCGUUGAUCGGAAUUACUGGGCGUAAAGCGCGUGUAGGCGGUUUCUUCAGUCUGGUGUGAAAGCCCGGGGCUCACCCCCGGAAGUGCAUCGGAAACUGGGAGACUUGAGUACCGGAGAGGAGGGUGGAAUUCCUGGUGUAGCGGUGAAAUGCGUAGAGAUCAGGAGGAACACCGGUGGCGAAGGCGGCCCUCUGGACGGAUACUGACGCUGAGACGCGAAAGCGUGGGGAGCAAACAGG
rnacentral:rRNA from 1 species